UGCAGUGAGAGUAAUAUGGAAAAAGAUGAUCUGCUGUGGCAACCCCUAAUGGGAGCAGCUGAAAGAAGAAAAAGAAAGUGCAGUGAGAGUAACAACGCUAAAGCAGCUAUUGUAUUUAGAAUAGUUUGACCAUUCCAUGGACCAUUAUAUUGUUACUGGUUAAUUACAAUCAGAUGCAUUAUACUAAUAAACAAUAUACGGUUAAUUUCAGUGUAUUUAUAAAGCCGCGUCAGG